ensembl:lncRNA
AUGUACAUCUUUUCAAGCUGUACAGGGAGUGCACAGUUUCUAACUCAGGACUUUCUAUGCAAACUUCUACAGUUUCACCAUGAUUUAUAUGGGAACGAAAGGAAUUUCCUUUUGAAAAAUAAUAUAGACAUCAUUUGUGUUCUGCAGGUUUAUUCAUACAAUCCUCCGUUUACUGUCUUCUCUUUCAUUUACAGCCAUAUCUUUCUUUCAGUGAGGACUGUGUCUCAGACUGCUGCUUCCUUCCACUGCCUGGCUCACAAGAACACCCAUUUCUGUGCCCAUGUUAUUGCACAGACAAGAAGACUUUAUUCUGUCUGUGUGCUGUAAAAGAAAUGCAGAUUCAGAAUUGCAGAAGUGGUGAGAAGAAAAAGCAAAUGUCAAAUAGUGCAGAGAGACAGAAACUAAUAUUAAACUUUCAGGUAGAGUAUUUUUUGUGUACUAACUUCUUGUGUAUAUCAACCUAAGAAAUGUUAAAAUACAUAAGCACGAGUACCUUAAUUCAUGACUAUGAACUGCUUUUUUCUGUAAAGGAAAAUAGUUUCUGUCUCUGAAGUCUAAAGAACCUCUCAGGAUGCUCCAUUUUGUUGAGGUCUAUCAGCAGUUCCUAACUUAACAAAAGCACAAUACAGUGAACUUCUUCAUCAAUAGUUAAUGCUAACUUAGUGAAACACACAUUAAAAGCCAAACUCAUUCUUUCUUGAUCUAUUUGUAUCUACCUCUGCAGCUCUCAGUAUGAAAAAAUAGCACAUAUAGAUAAAAUUAACUUUGCUGCACAUAAACAAAUUUUCUCUAACCUCAGGUGCUGUUUAAGCAUGACAACAUUGAUCAUUUUUAAAUAUUCACAUUACAGUGUUUUUACAGAAGAUUAAUUUGGGUUAAAACAGAAUACGAAACAAUUGUAUUUUCCAUAUAAAACAGCUUCCAGGCAUACUCAUUUUAUUUCUAGGUAAAAAAUGUAUAAGGAAAACCACAAUAAGGCAGCAUACAGCAAGUCUCCUUUACAGCAGUAUAAUGGAAAACAAAACAAAGACUAUCUGUAGGCUUUAGCCAGUAUGUUUAUGUAUAACAUGAGAUCACUUCAGUAUCACAGCCCUUCAUGCUGGUUUUCCUAGUUUGCUAGCACACAAAGCAUCACUGUGGAACACAGCCUUGUGAAAGCCAUUUAUCAGCACAGGAGGGAUGGAAGGUGCUUAGAAUCGGUGAGCAAAGGUUUACUGAGGGCAAUCAUGGUUUUCCAACCUGAUUGCGUUCCUUUUCCUUUGUGUAGGAAGUGGGAGAAAUCGAUGCCCAAAGAGGUUGUGGAUGCCCCAUCCCUGGAAGUGUUCAAGGCCAGAUUGGAUGGAAUCCUGGGCAGCCUGGUCUAGUAAUAAAUAUGGAGGUUGGCAGCCCUGCUUGUGGCA